CUAGUUUGGUUUUUUACACCCUGUGAAUGAUUCCCCAGCUGCUCUACCUGAAAACAAUUCCCAUUUCCUGGCACUAUGGAUGACCAAAGCUUUUGAAUACUGAGCUGGCUUUUCCUCAUGUGUCAGCCUGCCUUCCUGCACAGAGCAGAGUGGUUUGGAGGUAUCAGCAGUUGGGUACUUUGUCAGCAUCCGGCUUUUUGCAAUUGAGGCUGGGGAACUACUUGAGCCAGAAGUGGCAGAGUAAGUCAAGAGUCAGGUGCAGUAACCCAUACUGCAAUUCUGGGAAUAUUGGUGCUGUCCUGAGGGGUUCAGCAAAGCCUGAUUCAUAAAACUCCUUCACUCUAUGUGUGUGCAUCCUGCAGCCUGUUCCUCUGCUUUGCAUUUACUGACAAUUUGCCUUUCCUGUCUCCCUAAGACAAAGAGAAGCAAUGCUCUGUAAAAUACUUAAAGAGGGAAGAGCAGAGACAGUUUGUGCUUCAUGAGGAUAGUUUAACAUUAAUAUUAGCACAUGGCCUGUAAAUCAGCUUGUUUGAAGGUGCUCUGAGAGGUAAAUAUGGAAUUAGUGUCUACCUUGUAAAAGUCUUCAGCCACUGCUUGCAUGUGCAGUCAGACAUGGAGAGAUGAUGAAUUCUGAUUUGUCAUUAAAGGACAAUUACUGCAUCCAUCCUGUGUAGUUCCUGAGAGAAGAAGUCAGCCUACAUUCUUCCUUCUGGUCAUUAAACCCAGUUCAACACUCCAAAGCUAUCCAGUCCUAUUUAUUUCAUCUGUCACAAACAGUUAAUUCUUAAAUGAUAACCAUGACAGCCACUACCUUUGAAUGAGUGCAGGCAGCAGCCUCCUCCCAUGGGAAGCUUUAGACUAAAUCAGCAUGGAAAAUGAAUCACUCCAGGAGUGCCAGGAUAGAUAAUCAUGGGCAAGGCCAUGGGAUUGAUCCCAUCAGUCUGUCUGCACUACAAGGGGGCUCUGAGAGACAAACUCACGUGUCCUUGUUAAAGAAAUCUCUCUAAUUUAGAAAAUGCAUUCACAAAUUCUUCUGUUCUCUUUUGUAAACUGAUAUAUUUAAACCAAGCAAUAGAUAACAUUUAAUGAAAUCGUAUCUUUUUAAUGCAAAAAAUGCUAAUGUAGGAAGGAACAACACAUUUGGGUAAAGCUGUAGGUAAUGUGGUCACCAUUACCUAAAUCCUCUCCAAUAUCUGAAUCUGCACACAUCCACUGAAGAGACAGAAGAUAACAAACAACAGGAGUAAAAGUGACUAAUGUUUAAUUUAUAAGUUAACAUACCUACAAAUUUCUGAUUCUAAGAAAUGAAUGUUACAGAAAAUGAAUGAUGAUUUGUAGGUGUGAGGGAUACUGUGGAAUGAAGCAAUUGUAUGUGGAACUUUGCUUAAUAACUGCACUUAUUUAUAUCCAUUGAAUAAGAGCUCAGCAUAGUUUAAUCUUUAGAUUAACAGUUAAAUUUGGUGGGUUUAUAUGUGAAUUCAGAGGCAAUACACCAUGAUAAAGUAGGAUCCAACUUUAUUUGUCCUACUAAUGUUCAAAGUCAGUUGUGAGUGUUACACUGACUUAGUACACUUGGGGGAAAUAGAGAAAUAUUUGUAGCAGCACAAGGAAAUGUUAACUUUUUGGCCUCCAAGGGUGAUUGAAAUUGUUUCAUCUCAGAAAACAACACAUUUUUUCUCAGGAUUUUUUGUGUUUUCAGUCAAGAUUAGAAAUUGCUUUUUGCAAUUUGGUGGUAACCACGAAGAGUCUAAACCCACAGACAUUAACCAAGGUGUCUUACCAGACAAUAUUCUCAGGUAUCCUUUGCCUUCCCUUUGAGAAAUAUAAAUAUUGAGGGGAUAUGAGUAAACCAUACAAUUCCUGAUUUCUGUAUGUAGCUGUUUUGCUCUGAAUGUUAUAAAGGGCAGAACACAUUGCAAGAGAACAUAAUGGGAUUUUCUUUGUUAGCAGGAACUAUCACUUUAUGACAGUAAGAUUAAUCAGUGGCAUCUGUAUCCUUUAGGUCAAAUUGUAAUGUCUCAAUAUCUCUUUUAUUAAACUAAUACAUAAAAUACAAAAUUCUCUUUUAGCUCAGAUUGAAACAUGUCCUUCCACCCCAAAUAUCUCUGCUGAGACACACAGUGAGUGUUAGCUGAGGCUGAAGUUGCUCUGGCUGUUAAUUGCCCUGGCUGCUGUCAACAUUCCACCCUCUACAGCAUCUAAAGCAGAGCAACACUUGCUUUACAACAUUCCCAAAUAUUUGAGUCAGAACAUAAAAACGAUUCUCCAGAAAUACUGUAGGGCAAAUUGCUGUAUCAAAGAGCAAGGAUUUAUUUUUGAGGACGUGAUCAGGAUCAUGGUGUAAUCAGGAGCCAAGCACUUGCAAACUGUUAAGGCAGUUCUGUGUGACCCUUUGGUUCUUCCUGGCACACACUCCCAAGAUAAACAAACACUUUACCUUUUAUGUAAAGCUACUUUCCUUACUAAAGUAUGCCUUUGUAAUGAACCUUGUUUGCCCCCAUUUUGGUAACAGCAUUAGCUAAGGGCUGCCUGGUUACAGAGCUGCUGCCACCUGCCUGAAUACUGAAAACCCUUGCCAUGGCAGCCCAGGAACACAGAUCCUGCUCCUUGUCCUCUUCCACAUGAGGGGGACAGGCAGACAAACUCCAGGCACACAGAAAGCUGCAGUUUCCAGUAACAGAACCAACUAGCUAAAAAUGGAGUAUUAUUUCUCUAAAACUGAACUCUUGACUUUUCGAGCAUCUUGUACUACUUGAUAAUAAAUGGAAGAUAUUGUUUAUUCCUUUCAACUACACAGUACGUAAUCUAACUCUUAAAUCUUGCUCACUUCCCACUUGCUCAUACUUAAUAUUAGAGAAUGGAGCUCUUCUGGGAAGUGAAAAAGCCUUUGAAGCCAGAGAAAACAAAAAAAUGUUCAAAUUUUAUUUAGUUUUAUGGUAUGGUUUCUGUAGUGUUUCACUUUUUGUGUACUUUGAUAUUCUCCUUUUACUACUUGGGCAUCCACAUACUUUUGUUAGUCAUUUAAUCUCUUUGUGUUAAGAAGUUUUAAAUUUAUAUGCAUAGCACCACCUGAAUCUUCCUGAAUAUUAAAGUUGGUGGAAAUGAUAAUUAAAGUAUUCUCAUUACUGUUUCCCAGUUAUGAGACAUGGUGGAUUUAUUAUAUGAAGUAUUUAGUAACCCCUAAACAAAUUAUUGACUAUGUAUCUGCUUUUUCUUUAGCAGCAGCAACUGUAGUGAAAUGUUGCACAAUUUCAGCUUCUGGUGGCAAAUCAUCCUGACCCACAGGUAGAGACAGUGACUUUUGUAAUUUACUGAAAUAGUCAUCAAACCUUAUCAGGGUACUUUGCAUUUCCCAGUGAAGUCUAAGUGCAAAGACAUUUGGUGCUGGUUUCACAAUAUUCCUCAUUCCCCUGCUGGCAGUUCCUGUGUGCCUGCCUGGGUCAGGGGCUCGGCAGCUGAGGGUACAAAAUGGAUUUUACAGAUGAAUGGAAGAAAAUAACUUUUUUUUUCCAAGCAGUUCCUGAACAUUUUUUUUUUAAUGCUGCAUAGAUUUUUGACACAUUACCUUUACAAGUAUGAAUUGCAGCUCCCACCUUUCAUCAAAAAUACGUUAUUGAUUUCCUAUCUGUAGCAGAAACACAGCAGCACCAGUUCUAUUUUCCUCCUGCCUCCCUCAGAGUGUUUUCUCUAUACAUGGAGCACCAAAUGACUGCAAAGCUAGGUGUGCACCACACUCCCUGCUCCAUCUCCAUCCAGUAAUUCUCUGCUUGGGAGAAUGACAGCCCAUUUUACAACUGUAAUUAUGAUCUAAGAAGGAUUAAAAAAAUGGAAAGUCAUUUUUUUUUUAGAUCAGAUGAAACAGAAAAAUCCAAUUUGAGCUGUGUCUUGUAAAUAACACCAAAGAAAGUAUCCUAGAACUUUUGGUCAAACACAGCAAUAUCUCCAACAAGGUAUUUAACAACUUCUCAAGAUAAACCAUUUCAUCUGUACUGAGUACAAAGUGAUAUAAAACCUCUUAUAAGUGGUUUUUUGGGUUAAAAAAUGAAGUGCUGAUAGGAUAAACUCCUGAUGUCCCAGACAAAGUCCAGUAUAGCUGUGAAGGGGAAUUCUGCCAGGUGGUCACUCCCUACAGCCUUUAUGCAGGAGGCUGCUCCAGGGGCUACAGCCAUGGGGGUCACCUCUGCCCCUGAAACCCCUUUUGUCUUGUCACAUCUGCAUCUGGAAGUUCUGGAAGAAACUACUGAGAAAAAAACAAAGCAAACAGAACAAUUCCUGGCCUUUAUCUCCAGAUCGUGGUGCUGGCCAAAGGCUGAACCUAUUUCACUCUGCUGCAGCUCAGUCGGGGCAAAGUCUCCUUUGCUUUUGUCAUGGCCAACAUCUCCAGGGGCAGCACUGCUGGAAAAGAGGCUUAGGAUUGGAGUGAGAAGUUUUAGAUGAAAGGCAUCCAGUGCAGAUGUCAGCUCCAAGGUGCACUGUUCCCUCUGAGAAGGGAAUCAGUGCUGCCUCAGCUCAGACAAGCCCUGUUCUCCACCCUCCACCAGCUCCCAGGCUGCAGCUGCUGUUUCUUCUCGGUUGCAAUUAUCCCAGCAAAACAAAAAAUUCUCUGUGAACAAGUCACCUCAUGGGAAACUUGUCCAAAUUCCAAGUGUCCUGGUGGC